AUCUAUUAUUAUAUCACGGUUUAGGAAUCAAAGACUAUAACAAGAAUAUAAUGAAACAUAAACUUAAUAAAUAUAUUCUUUUUGAGUUUUUAGCCGUAAAAGUAUUAAUUAAAUUCAUAUUAGCAAGAUUUUUUACCAAUCUUUAUUAUUUCAUAGCUAAACCUUUCGAUACUCAAAAAAAUUUAGAAAUUCAUAGUUUCGAUUAGAUUAUCUCAUUGCUAUCUUCAAAACCUUAUGUAAACUGAUUCCGACCUCCAAUAUAACAGAGAGAUAUGGAGAAUUUAAUAAGACAAAAAAUUAUUGUUGCCAAACACUCUAGUAUGGGAGUCUGGGACCCAGAAAAGGAGAGGCCAUAGGGUUUGGAAAAUGAAAAGGGAAACCUUG
rnacentral:lncRNA from 1 species